rnacentral:rRNA from 1 species
GGCGUAGGCGGAAAUAUAAGUCAGCCGUGAAAUCCCGGGGCUCAACCCCGGAACUGCGUUUGAAACUAUAUUUCUUGAGGCAAGGCGGAAGAAAAACGGAAUUCCACAAGUAGCGGUGAAAUGCGUAGAUAUGUGGAAGAACACCAGUGGCGAAGGCGGUUUUCUAGCUUUGACCUGACGCUGAUGCCCGAAAGCUAGGGGAGCGAACA